AUGGAAUAACCGAGGUAUGAAUGAACAGUUUUGAGCACUAAAACACACUAAGGGCUUUGUUAUGGACUGAAAUGUGUCCUCUCCCCAGAGUCACAGGAUUAUGAAGCCAUAAUCCUCAAUGUGACUAUAUUUGGAGCAGGGGCCUUUACAGACAUAAUUAAAUUAAAUGAGGUCAUAAGAGUGGGGCCCUAGUCUGAUAGGACUGGUGUCCUUACAAGAAGAGGGAGAGUCCUCAGAGAGUCCUCUCUCUCGGCAUGGACACAAAAGAAAAGCCAUGUGAGGACACAGAGAGAAGGUGGCUGUCUACGAGCUAGGAAGAAAGGCCUCACCGGAAACCAACCCUCACAGCAGCUCCAUCUUGGACUUCCAGCCUCCGGAACUGUGAGAAAAUAAAUGUUUGCAAUUCAGGGAGCUCCACCCAGCAGCAGCGUUUGACAGAGCUGUUCACUUCCUCUUCCUGGAGCUGUGGCUUCCAGAGCCCAUGCUCAGCAGUUCCCCUCCUUCUUCGACUGCUCCUCUCUUAGGCUCAGAGCCACUCAGACAUUGGGAAGCAAGUUUGUCAAGAUGACAGAGAACCGAGGUAAUGGAUUCGAGUGAUGAAACAGGAAGUUCAUUCAUGAGUUUUUGGCCACACCUCCAAAGUGACGACUUAGCCAGAAAUGGGAUAACUGGGUUUCCCUACUUCUCUUUUAUCAUCCUCAAUGAGAGUGACCAAAUAUUAGAGCUAGAUGGAACCUUAGUGAAAAUCUGGCUACUCGUCCCGUCCCACCAGCCUGCCACCCAUUUCAAGUUUGAAGAGACAAAGACACAUGGACCUUAUGUAAUUACUGGGGAUUACCCCAGGAGUCUGUGGCAAAAGUCAGCUUCUUCCCUCCCUGCUUCCCCGCCCUGUCUCUGGUACUUUCUACCAACACUGGGCUGUUUCUGUGAUCACACUUAAGCGUACCUAACCUGCGAAUGCUGUAUAGAAGGUGCUAAUGAACAUGAUUUAGCUUUAACACUCAGUUUUCUAAAGGGACACGUGGGGGCAGCAAAUGUUUAGGCAAAAACAAUUCCAGUUCUAGCCUCUACUGUCUACAUAUGUGUAUACAUUUGGGAAACGUUUGGGAAAGGGAUAUUUGAGAGCUUCUUUUUCUUUUUUGUGGUUUAGUUAUUUGAUGAUAUUGAGAUUGUUUCUGAGCCAUGUGCUUCAACAUCGGAUUGGGGAUUUCAGAAAAAGUUUUAGUCACUGUGAUUCCAUUUAGCUUCCAAAUGUGUCUCUGCUAAGAGACUUAAAAGCACUCAUAAAUAGCACGUGUGUCUUCUUUGCAGUGUUUGCUAAUUUUGAGUCACAUCUUUUUAGAAAAUCAUGAGAUUUGGUGUCACAGAGACUGGAAUAAAUAUAGUCAAACUUAUUGGUGAAGAUUUCCUUUAGCUGUUUUCAUAAUCCAUUUCCAUUGUUAUGAUUAUUGAUGAAUAAAACAUUUUCUUUAGGUAGAUACUUCUUUUUUCCCCCCACCUUGAUUUAAUGUUUCCACUCUUAUUGUCAAGUUUCUUAUUACUCCCUAAUAACUCUCAAUAAAAUAAUGAUUCCUGGGAGAUUAUUCCUGCUUUCCUACUAUCACCUGUUGAUUUGAAAAGACAGAACAAUACCGUAGAAGCUUCACUAAUACAUUGAAAGAUAAAAUGAUAAUACUAAAUACUAAAAUAUGAAAAGUGAUACUAAAAGUGGAGUCCUGGCACUAGUAUUUUUUUUUUUGAGUCUUUAAAUUUUAUUUAUUUAUUUUUGAAUUUUUUAAAAUUAUAUGUUAUGUUCUGGGAUACAUGUGCAGAACGUGCAGGUUUGUUACAUAGGUAUACAGGUCUGGCACUAGUAUUUUGUUGCCACAAAAUAUCAAGCAUGUAUCCAAACUGCUCAAGACACAUUAAAGACACAGGUAAUCUGUAGGCAUAUUCAGGCUUGUAGUUUGCAUUUUUUGGUUUUCUUGUGGCUUUCAGUGCAAGUUGAGGUAAUUCAUGGGAAACAGUCACCAAAGAAGUGCCAGUAUUAGAAAUCCAAGAGCCAUUUCUCUAGCUUCUUCCAGAAUCAAGACUUUAGAGGUAAUUUCUAUCAACACUGGACAUUUCCUGUCUGCAAUUAACAAUGAACACAUAGCAUUAUGUUUAAUUGCAACCUGUUUAAAGCAGAUUGGAUGCUAAGGUUUAAGAACACUCUUCAGUCAAAAAGGUCUUUUAAUCAGGUUUUUAAUCUUGAGCACAAUCUAGGACACAGCAUCAUAGACUAACUCAUUCGAGAAUAGGUGUUGUCAUCUAAUCCUAACCACCCCCACCACCAACAAGCUGAAUAGCUCUGGGCUCAGUAUAUACAUUUGUACUGGGCUCAGUACACACACCUAAGCUGGGUUCAGUAUAUGCCACUUUAUAGUGAGAGGCAUUUUGUAAUGAGAGCUCUGGGUUCACUAUAUACAUUUGUACUGGGCUCAGUACACACAUCUAAGCUGGGUUCAGUAUAUGCCACUUUAUAGUGAGGGCCAUUUUGUAAUGAGAGCUCUAAGGCUCUAAAAUUCUGUGUUUCUGCUAGUUUCUUCCUCAAGAUAAAACUGUGGAACUCAUAGUGAAUUCCCUCUCUUUGGGCAGUUUGAGCCAGGCCGCUAUUUAAUCACAACAUCACAAGUCAGAUUUUUCCUACCUAGUGUUGGCAGUGGAACACACCAGAACUGCUAAGGCCAAGGAAAUCCCAUUUUUUGAAGAGGCUUUCCUUUGUUAGCUUCUCUUUCUAGUAGUAAAGGUAAAAGAAAAAUAGAUGUUAAAGAUAUAAAUAUCUUAGGGGGUUUUUAUUGGUAUAAAUAUUUGUACACAAAAAGAAUAUGUAAUGUAAACUGGAUAUGUAUUUUUUACAUUUUACUUAACCUGAAUUUUACACAAUCUUUGCUUGAAUGCUCC
rnacentral:lncRNA from 10 species